GCUUGACUGUAGCUUGUAAUUGGGUUCGGGCUUUUUUUGCGCAGCCUAGGUGGGAGGCAACGAUGAUUUUUUUCCGGAAAAAUUUGAGCCGUUAGUGAGAGACCACUCUGAAAAGGCUAGAAUCCUAAUAAUGAUCCUUGAAUCAGGACAUUUGACAGUUGCAGGUGGGCAGUUUUACUGGGGCGGUAUUCUCCUAAAAAGUAACGGAGGGGUGCAAAGGUUCCCUCAAGCUGGACGGAAAUCAGCUUAAGAGUGUAAAGGCAAAAGGGAGCUUGACUGCAAGACCUACAAGUCGAGCAGGGGCGAAAGCCGGCCUUAGUGAUCCGACGGUACCACGUGGAAGGGCCGUCGCUCAACGGA
rnacentral:rRNA from 1 species